GCUCUGCCGUCCCGCUCGCCCUGGCCGUGGCCGAUGACCGCGCCCCCGCCGUUCCGCUUGCAGUGGCCGAUGCCCCGCGGCCUCGCCCGCCCCGUCCGUCCCGCUCGACGUGGCCGAUGCCCCGCCGCCUCGCCCGCCCCACCCCACCCGUCCCGCUCGCUGUGGCCGAUGACCACGCCACCAUGGACCGCGGCCACUCGAUGAGGAGGCCUGGACCUUGGCGGCGGCGCAGCAGCAGGCCUUGGGCGAUGAGGAGGAGCACGACGGCGGCGGCGGAGAGCAGCAGCGGCAGGCCAAGGCGGCGCAGCAGCAGGCCUUGGGCGCAGCGGAGGGAGGGCGAGGAGCACGGCGGCGGCGGCAGCGGGGAAUGGUGUACGGCGCCGCCAGGGCCGUGCUGAUGAGUCCUCCUUCAACCCCCUGCUACCCAUGGCGUUGUAGAUCAAAUCCUCGUUGUUCAGAUGACUAAUCAAGAUCCUGCAUCAUCGCCUCUGUCUCCGCCUAGCUGCCGCUGUCCUCCUUCUCAUGUCUUCCAGAAAGGGCAGCAGGGAGCAUCUCUUUCUCGUGGCGGCGACAACCUUCGAGCCUGUAUCUGAAUUUUCUAUGCAUUAUCUGGAGCCCUUGGGCGCGCCGCUGUCAGCUCCACCACACUCGAGCACCCAGCCGGAGGUACGCGCGCGGGCGUCGGCGCGGUUUCAGUUGGGUGCAUCGCUUUGAGGGGAUUGAAUGGCUAUUGGACAGGCCUGACAGCAGCAGCAGGCUAUCGUUCUCACGCCCGAGAAACCCUAACAACCAGCCCCAUCUUGCCCGCCUCCCUCGCCACGUCAAAAUAAGCAUGGGCCGCAACCACUCCUCGCCUACGUAAAGCGUGUGCCAGAUCUGAGCCAGUGAAGGUUGGAACUGCUCUGUUAGAUCCUUACCUUUCUUUUGUAGCGACACUGAAUGGUUUGGCUGGUCCACAGCACGGUCUCAGGAGUAAUGGAAUGUUUAUUGGCUUGUGGGGGCAUGUUCAAGUAUGCGAAAUGAUGAGCUCCUACUUUUUAUUCCAGCUCUAUGCCGUAGAUAACCUCCAGAAGGAAUUGUGAUUGUGAUUAGUGUCUUCAGACAUUGGCCAUAUUCGGCAGAUAAAGAGUGGAUACCCAACUGCUCCGAUGUAGGCCGCUCCGAAUCAAUCAUCCGAUAUAUGGCGUCACUUGAAGGGUUUGUCUAUAUUUAUCUUUAAGGCUACAACCUGGAGUCUCAUGGGGGUGUGAAGAUGAUACCUAAGUAAUCUAGGGCAUUGCUUUGUUAGGGGUUCACUUAUGUACAAGAAUGGCAUGUUCUUUCUUGUGUAAUAUAUUGUGGGUUUUUUUUUCUGCUCAACACCAUCUGGACUAUGUAUCACUGUAACCUGCUUUAUGGUUUGGACCUGAGCGUUGGAGCAUGGUGCUGGACAGGGAACAAGUCCCUAAGACCGCUCUUUGGAAUUCCAAUAUACAUGGAGAUAGAAGUGACAUUUGAGGGCCAACAAAUAUGUUGUAUCGUGGAUGUCCCCCUUUACAUCAUUGUUUUAUGAAAUGCACUAACGCUCCCGGAAGGUUGUCCUGAGUAUAUUUGUAUAUUUGUUACGACAAGUAUGAUUUGGUUUGAAGUUAUCCAAUGUCGUGUGAUGAACCUUGAUGUUUAGUAUGGAAUCAUUAGUAAGAGUUUAGUAACCUCCUGCUUUUUGAGAUGUUACCUUUGUAGCGAAGAUGUUUUUUGAAUAAUUUGAACCUAUA